AUUGAAUAUACAUUAAUAGGCUUCAUAAGGAAGAUGGUUAGAAGAAACAUAUUUCUUAGCACAGCCGUAAUGUACGACUGAUCCACUUGUUAAAUGAAGGUUAGUAAUUAAAAAAAAAUAAUAAAAUAAAAUAAAAUUACUUACUCGGGAAAAAUAGAGAUGACACUUUUUCCAAGUCGUUUGUGACAAAACAAGCAAGUUUUCUCUCGGGUAAUUACUACUUUUUCAGAACGAACUUUAGUCAAUUCCUCAUUCAAAUCUUCCAAACGUUUUUGAUAUAAUUUAGAUUGCGUUUCUUUAUUACUCAGUUCUUCAAAUAACUGGCGAAAUUGAGAAGAGAACAAAGAAUGAUAACUUUUCAUAGAUAUGUUUUUUGGCAGUAAAGGAAAAACUCUGUUUAAAUCCAAGCGUGAACUGUACUUUGUUAUAAAAUCUAAAAUGUUUAGAGAACCGGAUUUGUAGUUCUUAGAUAUUUCAGCAAGUAGCAUA